AUCUCCUGAGCGCGUUCUCCUCCCAUUAGCGCUCACGAGUGUUCCCCUCUGGAGGUUUAGCCUUUUUGGCACUUCCAUCAAACUCAGCCGGAUCUUCUGAUCCGGCUUUUUUG
rnacentral:sRNA from 1 species